rnacentral:rRNA from 1 species
UACGGGGGGGGCAAGCGUUGUUCGGAAUUACUGGGCGUAAAGGGCUCGUAGGCGGCCAACUAAGUCAGACGUGAAAUCCCUCGGCUUAACCGGGGAACUGCCUCUGAUACUGGAUGGCUUGAGAUUGGGAGAGGGAUGCGGAAUUCCAGGUGUAGCGGUGAAAUGCGUUGAUAUCAUCAGGAACACCGGUGGCGAAGGCGGAUCUCUGGGCCGAUACUGACGCUGAGGAGCGAAAGCGUGGGGAGCGAACAGG